AUUAUGUCGAGUGCCAACUUUAUUCAAAGCAAAGGAAAUGGAUGUUAGAAAAACAAAAAAAGAUAAACCAAGCGUGAUUUUUUUCCCCUUUACCCGAGGGAAGAGCUGCAGGACUGACUCACCAGGUGGAACCGGGGACACGGGGAAGGCAGGGAAUGAUUGAAUUGACUCAUUUCUGGCAGAAAUGUCAUCACCAUUGCAGAUACAAAGCAGAUUUGCCACAUUUAACAUUUGAAAACGAUGUUUCUGAAUAAAGUUAACUGCCUAAUGUUAUGACUUCCACUAAAUAUGUGAAUUUGCUGCUUCUAAGAGGCAAUGUGAAAGAGGAAGUAUUACUUUUGUGUACAAAGUUAUUUAUUUAUUAGAAAAUUUGGUACAAUGUUGUACAUUGAAAAACAUGUAAGAUAUUGAAGUGUCUAACAAACGGCAUUGAAGUGUCUUUAAUAAAGGUUCAUUUAUAAUAUUACAACGGUUUUGUUGAGAGUGAGCUUUUGGGAGUUUCAGUUGAAAAUUAAAUAAAAUUCUAAUCCAUUGCUA